rnacentral:rRNA from 1 species
GUGGGGAAUAUUGGACAAUGGGCGCAAGCCUGAUCCAGCAAUGCCGCGUGGGUGAAGAAGGUCUUCGGAUCGUAAAGCCCUUUCGACAGGGACGAUGAUGACGGUACCUGUAGAAGAAGCCCCGGCUAACUUCGUGCCAGCAGCCGCGGUAAUACGAAGGGGGCUAGCGUUACUCGGAAUUACUGGGCGUAAAGGGCGCGUAGGCGGCUCUGUUAGUCAGGCGUGAAAUUCCUGGGCUUAACCUGGGGACUGCGCUUGAUACUGCAGGGCUUGAGGCCGAGAGAGGGUGGUGGAAUUCCCAGUGUAGAGGUGAAAUUCGUAGAGAUUGGGAAGAACACCGGUGGCGAAGGCGACCACCUGGCUCGGUUCUGACGCUGAGGCGCGACAGCGUGGGGAGCAAACAGGAUUAGAUACCCUAGUAGUCC